rnacentral:rRNA from 1 species
GCACCUUCCGAUACGGCUACCUUGUUACGACUUCACCCCAGUCAUGAACCCCACCGUGGUAAUCGCCCCCCUUGCGGUUAGGCUAACUACUUCUGGUGAAACCCACUCCCAUGGUGUGACGGGCGGUGUGUACAAGACCCGGGAACGUAUUCACCGCGACAUUCUGAUCCGCGAUUACUAGCGAUUCCGACUUCACGUAGUCGAGUUGCAGACUACGAUCCGGACUACGAUCGGGUUUCUGGGAUUGGCUCCCCCUCGCGGGUUGGCGACCCUCUGUCCCGACCAUUGUAUGACGUGUGAAGCCCUACCCAUAAGGGCCAUGAGGACUUGACGUCAUCCCCACCUUCCUCCGGUUUGUCACCGGCAGUCUCAUUAGAGUGCCCUUUCGUAGCAACUAAUGACAAGGGUUGCGCUCGUUGCGGGACUUAACCCAACAUCUCACGACACGAGCUGACGACAGCCAUGCAGCACCUGUGUUCCAGUUCUCUUGCGAGCACUCCCCAAUCUCUUAGGGAUUCUAGACAUGUCAAGGGUAGGUAAGGUUUUUCGCGUUGCAUCGAAUUAAUCCACAUCAUCCACCGCUUGUGCGGGUCCCCGUCAAUUCCUUUGAGUUUUAAUCUUGCGACCGUACUCCCCAGGCGGUCAACUUCACGCGUUAGC